ACCGGCGGCUCGAGUGGUGGACACUAUUAAUGGGCUUAAAGCGUUCGUAGCUGGCUUGUUAAGUCUCUGGGGAAAUCUUCCGGCUUAACCCGGAAGCGGCUUAUGGAUACUGGCAGGCUAGGGAACGGAAGAGGUGAGAGGUACUCCGGGUGUAGGAGUGAAAUCCUGUAAUCCUUGGGGGACCACCUGUGGCGAAGGCGUCUCACCAGGAUGGCUCCGACGGUGAGCAGCGAGAGCUUGGGGAGCAAACCG
rnacentral:rRNA from 1 species